rnacentral:misc_RNA from 1 species
GUAGGUGAACCUGCGGAAGGAUCAUUAAUGAAGUUUGGGCUCUCUGAGCCUACUCUCUUCUACACACUUGUGCACAUACCCUGUUGCUUUGGCAGGUUUCCACCCACUCUUCUCUGAAGUUUGGAUGGUUAGGUUGUAAGACGCCUGCCAAAGAUUUCUUAUAUUUUAAUAAUUUGGUCUGACUAUUGUUUUUUACAAACGUAAUAAAACUUUCAACAAUGGAUCUCUUGGCUCUGGCAUCGAUGAAGAA